GAUUGAAGCGGCGAAAUCUUCUGCCAUUGGUUAUUGUUGCGCGUGGGGAGCAGGUAUAGGUCCACUUCAUCAACCCACCGCCUCUAAAGGGGGAUCAGAUAAAGUUGUCUACAACCCUGGACGCAGUUUCAAGCAUAUGCCGGGGUGUAGGAAUAAAGUAAAAUAUAGUAAAAUACGGGACUAGGACUAUAGUGCUAUAUUUUUGUUCUAUUAAAAUGAAGCGAAUGUAUGUCUCCUUUCUGCUCUUCUAGCUUUCAGUUGACUCCGAUGACCUUCCUCUGAACGUCUCAAGAGAAUCUCUCCAGCAACACAAACUUCUGAAGGU